AGGGUUCUAGGGGCCUCAUAAGUCACCGUGAGGACCUGGCUUUACUCUGAAAGAGAAGGAAGCCAGCUGGAGGCUUCUGGGUGGAGGAUUAACCUGCUUCAGUCAAGGUCAUCAACAGAAUCACUGUGGGGCUGUUGAAACUACACACAAGGGGGGAAGGGAAGAGGCGGGGGAGACAAGAAUGUGCCCUGAGACGAGGGAUGGCGGUGAUUUGUGUCUGAGCCAUCGGAAGGAUGAAGCCAGCAGCGAGGUCUGCAGAAAGACUCUUUCUACUUCCUCACUUUCGGCACUGACCUUACCUGCUAUUCCGUGGAGAGAGCAGAUGCUUUCGGAUGAGAACAGCUGUGAGCUCCCAUCAUUACUCAGACCCACUACCUGCUGGGACUCACACCCUCCGCCUUUCCCUCGGUACUGAGGUCCAACCUGCCGAGAACUAGGUGUCGGCGCAGCGGCUGGUGAGGAAACGCGCACGGCUUGGAGGAGUCCAUCAGACCCGACCACCCAGACCCACCUGCGUCUCCAGAAACAAAGGAGUUUACGCUACAAGCUUUCUGUGCUCUGGGUGCUGAGGAGGGGUCAGCACCAGGCGCCACAAAGGGCGAUACAAGAAGGUCGUUCCUUGAGAAAAACUCCCCUUUCCUCUCUCUCUCUGUGGGUUCACUGAUUCUGAAAAGAAGGGUCUCCCAAGCGACUCCACCCCAGAAAAGAUCUGCCUCCAGGCCCCAGGCCCUUCUCCCAGUGAGUUUGGUAAUGGGAUGCUUUUACAGUGCUGGGACCUUGCUCUUCCGGGGGCAGGUCGCACUGUUUUCACCUGCACCGCAGACGGCGUCCCGUCCGAGGAGCCGCACCCCUGCAGCUGGACUCCGGGUAGCGGCGGCUCCCGCGCUGCACCCAGGCCUGCUCCUCACCACUGCACAACAGACCAAUGACUACGUUGGACUGCUCGGCACCUCGCAGCCGCUCGGUGAUUCCCAAGCCAAUGUUAUCCAUGACUGACUACGGAGGUGGGGGCUGCAUUCUCCCCCCGUGGGCACGACCAGUCAGUCGACCAAGUAUUGGGACUUCCUGUGUUUGCAGCUGACCACACAGUGAGAAGGGGCCUGGUGUGAACUGCAGGAAUGGAUCACACACCCUUCCCGGGACCACCGGAGACGCAGGGGCGAGAGGAUGCAGCUGGGUUUCACCACAAUACUGUGCAGAAUACACAGUUGGACAGGAUGAACUCUUCCAAACUUUUCAUUUCAGCUGCUCAAAACUCGUGGUGAUUUGCUUGGCUGGUACCGUGAGUACAUGCUGGAGAAAAUGCUCUUUGCUGGGUUAGAGGGGCACUUCGCCACGAACAGGACCUGUUUCCAGGUGACCAACAGAGGACUAGGAAGUCCUUUCCUCUUUCUCGAGGAGGAGAGAAAAAGCAGAACGUAUAAUGACACCCACAACAUCAAGGAGCCGGUGUUCCGUCCACUUUCUGAACACUGCUGACGACACCAGGAGGUGAGACCAUUAGCUGGCCUGGCUCACCCGGGCACAGCAUUACCUCUCUAAAAUUAAGAUCACAUAAAGUUUAAAAUCUCUUUGAAUUAGCUCAUGGUCAUUACUGAUCUUGACCAAAAAGGACUGUCUC